rnacentral:rRNA from 1 species
UACGAAGGGUGCUAGCGUUGUUCGGAAUCAUUGGGCGUAAAGCGUACGUAGGCGGCAUAGUAAGUCGAUUGUGAAAGCCCCAAGCUCAACUUGGGAAUUGCAAUCGAUACUGCUUUGCUAGAGUUUGGUGGGGGAUAGUGGAAUUCCUAGUGUAGGGGUGAAAUCCGUAGAUAUUAGGAGGAACACCAGUGGCGAAGGCGACUAUCUACGCCAAUACUGACGCUAAGGUACGAAAGCGUGGGGAGCAAACAGG